rnacentral:lncRNA from 1 species
AAUUGGGGUACCCCGGUAUGGCAAAAGCAACGAAGAAGAGAAAAGGGGGGAGGGAUUGAAAUCCCUUGUUUGGGGUUCAUUUCCGACCAAGCCAGUUCGUUCCUUGUGUGGACAGCUUCCUCAAUGAGGAUGACUAUGUUUGUCCCCCUUCUCAUGUUAAGCCAAAUCAGUCCAAGCUUUCAAAGGACAUAGAAAUGUAUUUCAAGAUGUUUCAGUCACCGCAUUGGGGCGGCAAGCGGUGCUACAAGUGCGUGUGAUGUUGUCGAGGUACUAUUCUUUAUUUUAAUGACUAAUUAGGUGUUCAUGAAUGUAAUUAGAGGCUAGGUUGUAUGUAGUUCAUUUGAUUUAUAGGACAUAAAUUGGAUAAAGGUAUACUUGUUUACAACUCCCUGGAUGAAAAUAUGUAUUUAUUCACGUUUAAUAUCAUCAAGGAUGAAAGGUCUAGGUUCCAUCUUAAUAUCAUUUAUUCACGUUUGUUUGAUUGGUAAGAAAUCUUUUUGUGCUAUUUCUGCCUUAUUGUUUGCAAUAUUGUAUUGUCUCUCAUGGAGAUCCACAUUCUAAUUGAUGCAAAUUGCAAAGUUCAAUAAAGCUAUAACUCAAGUCAAUGUAUUGUAUAAAGAGGCCUAAACAAUUUUAUCCUUUCUCAGGACUGAAUAGCCACACUUAGAUAUGGUUAUCAACUGUGAAUAUGGCUAACCACCUAUAAACUAUAAAUUGUUACUUCAGAAAAACAAUAAUCAUAUUUAUAGUUGAAAUAACUUCACAACAACAAGAAGGAGUUAUUGUUUGUUGUAAUUUUCUCCUAGAAAAUAAGGACAUGUGCGUUGUAUGGGAAAGUAUCAAAAUAAAAUAAAAAAGUGAAGGUUUAUUUGUCCAAAAAUUAAGAAUUACGUAAUAGGGUUAAACAUAUAGAAAGUAGGAUAACAAAUAUGAUGUCAUUUAUUCAAAGUCGGUUUUCUAGAGCAGAUGUUGAUGACAGGAUAGAAGCUGCAAAACAGGUGUACCAUAUUCCCCUCAAAUUUAAUUUUCAAAGUUGAUGUUAUAUUUGUAUCAAUUUUAUAAACUGAUUGAGAUAGCUUAAUAGGUCUACUAAAGUUAAUUCCUAAUUUGUUCUUUAAUGAACUAGUCUACUAUAGUAGUUCAAUAACUUCAAUUGCCAUACAUAGAAGCGACAUUAUGGUAUGCUAAUAUAUAUGUGUUUGAUAAUGUUAUUGGGUUGACUAUUUUGAUUUAUAUGCAUUGAAUAUUUGUCAUUGAGUUGAUUAUGUGAGUAUAUAACUAUAUAUGGUACUUUGAGUUAAGGACACAACAUAUCGCUAACUUGUAUUCUUUUGCUUUCGCUUUCAAUAGUUUCAAGAUUCUACUACUACCCCAACUUCUUUUGGUUCUCCAAAUUUAGAUUGUAAUGAAGAUAAUGAAAAUGGU